AGAACGAACGCUGGCGGCAUGCCUAACACAUGCAAGUCGAACGUGAUCCAGACUUCGGUUUGGUGAAAGUGGCAAACGGGUGAGUAACGCGUGGGAACCUGCCCAGAGGUAGGGAAUAACUGCGGGAAACUGCAGCUAAUACCCUAUGUGCCCUAUGGGGCAAAGAUUUAUCGCCUUUGGAGGGGCCCGCGUCGGAUUAGGUAGUUGGUAGGGUAACGGCCUACCAAGCCUACGAUCCGUAGCUGGUCUGAGAGGAUGAUCAGCCACACUGGGACUGAGAUACGGCCCAGACUCCUACGGGAGGCAGCAGUGGGGAAUAUUGGACAAUGGGGGCAACCCUGAUCCAGCAAUGCCGCGUGAGUGAUGAAGGCCUUCGGGUUGUAAAGCUCUUUCGCUCGGGACGAUAAUGACGGUACCGAGAUAAGAACGCCCGGCUAACGUUCGCGCCAGCAGCCGC
rnacentral:rRNA from 1 species